UGAAGAUUCACAAUAAUGGAGGUACGACUUUUGAGGGGCGGCUUCCACUAUUGGUCCCCAGGGCCAAGACUUUGAAAGUUGACAUCUCUUUCAUUGCAUUUUUUUACAAAAUAUAUUGUGAUUAUAAACUUCCACAGCUCCACAUAACAAUAUACACCUGUUUUGAGCCAACGAAACAUUUGUAUUUAACAGCAAUAAAAAAGUGAGAUCUCAAAAUUUUAGAAUAUACUAUAUACUAAGAGCUUAUAGUCCUUGGAUCACAGAUUGUGUUGACUCAUUGACAAAGAUAACAUCUUUAGACAUCGACACAUCGUACGUAUCUAAAGCGUCACCCUUGAAACAUUGCAUCUCGUUGAGGCAUUUCACCGAACACUUACAGAGCGUAAUCUAGACGUCUGAAGACAUACAAAUUCCAAGCUUUGCUGAUGUGGGCGGACCUGAAACCUAUAUAGUAGUGUCCCACCAUAUGGGUUUAACUACAUCAAAGUCAAAGUCGACGACUUUAAAGCGAGCUGAGACACAAAGAGAAUAUGAUCCAACUUGGAGAUUAGCUAAGAAACGAAAGAAUGAGAAAGAAGAAUAAACACACUGGAAGAGGCAGAAGGUUAGACUAGGUUUAAAAGGAGUAGAAGACUCUAUGUGCAUCAGAGGGUUUUGUUGUUACACGUUUUCAGCACAUGUGGACGUUAGGGUUUGUUAGAUGGACUCUGUUUUUAGCCCGACAUGAUUGAAGAACAAAUCCUUAACAAAUGAGAAGAUAUGUUUAGACUCAGACUCUGACGUGAACACAUCGUUUAGAGUUUGCGCCGCAAAUAUAGGCUGCUUUGGUGUUGGAAGUUCUGUCGUUGAAGUAAUCAUGGACAGUACUUGAAGAGUGUUGGGUCUGUCCGAGGCUUCAUGUUGGACACAUAGAAGACCAAUCUGAACACAUCUCGCAACUUCGUAUAUGUUGCAUGAGUCAGUAAGAUCUUGAUCAAGAAGAUCCGCUCCUCCAGUCUCGCACCAAGACUCCCAGGCCUGAGUACAAUAAGAAUACAUUUCAUGUCUAUAUACUUAAAUGAUAAUCAAAUCAAUCACAGUAAACAUGUCACUUACGUAUGCAAGAAGGCCUUUGCUCCCAUCUCCAAAGCUGAACCUUGAAAUCUUCUUGCCGCUGAUGAUUUCUAGCAUGAGAACUCCUAGGCUGUAGAUGUCUGACUUCUCGGAGAACAACCCUGCCCAUGCAUACUCAGGAGACAUAUAUCCUCUGUGAUAACAUCAAAUAGUAUAUUGUAUAUGAUUAUGAGUAUGAAUCCUUGUUAACCAUGUUGUUGUAAAGAGAGAUUCUUACAGAGUU